rnacentral:rRNA from 1 species
CCUACGGGAGGCAGCAGUGGGGAAUAUUGCACAAUGGGGGGAACCCUGAUGCAGCGACGCCGCGUGAGUGAAGAAGUAUUUCGGUAUGUAAAGCGCUAUCAGCAGGGAAGAAAAUGACGGUAACUGACUAAGAAGCCCCGGCUAACUACGUGCCAGCAGCCGCGGGAAUACGUAGGGGGCGAGCGUUAUCCGGAUUUACUGGGUGGAAAGGGAGCGUAGACGGUUAGGCAAGUCUGAAGUGAAAGCCCAAGGCUUAACCCUGGGACUGCUUUGGAGACUGUAAAACUGGAGUGCAGGAGAGGUAAGCGGAAUUCCUAGUGUAGCGGUGAAAUGCGUAGAUAUUAGGAGGAACACCAGUGGCGAAGGCGGCUUACUGGACUGUAACUGACGUUGAGGCUCGAAGGCGUGGGGAGCAAACAGGAUUAGAUACCCCAGUAGUC